GCCCCCGUGGCGGAAUGGUAGACGCGGCAGACUCAAAAUCUGUUGCCGGCAACGGCGUGUUGGUUCGAGUCCGACCGGGGGCACCA
rnacentral:tRNA from 1 species